UACGAAGGGGGCUAGCGUUGCUCGGAAUUACUGGGCGUAAAGCGCACGUAGGCGGCUUCUUAAGUCGGUGGUGAAAUCCUGGAGCUCAACUCCAGAACUGCCUUCGAUACUGGGAAGCUCGAGUCCGGGAGAGGUGAGUGGAACUGCGAGUGUAGAGGUGAAAUUCGUAGAUAUUCGCAAGAACACCAGUGGCGAAGGCGGCUCACUGGCCCGGACUACGUACGCUGAUGCACGAAAGCGUGGGGAGCAAACAGG
rnacentral:rRNA from 1 species